rnacentral:tRNA from 1 species
AGGAAUGUAGUUAAUUAUAACAUUUGGUUUGCAUCCAAAAGGUACACAAAGUUAUUCUUA